GACGAACGCUGGCGGCGUGCUUAACAUAUGCAAGUCGAACGGAAAGGCCCUGCUUUUGUGGGGUGCUCGAGUGGCGAACGGGUGAGUAACACGUGAGUAACCUGCCCUUGACUUUGGGAUAACUUCAGGAAACUGGGGCUAAUACCGGAUAGGAGCUCCUGCUGCAUGGUGGGGGUUGGAAAGUUUCGGCGGUUGGGGAUGGACUCGCGGCUUAUCAGCUUGUUGGUGGGGUAGUGGCUUACCAAGGCUUUGACGGGUAGCCGGCCUGAGAGGGUGACCGGCCACAUUGGGACUGAGAUACGGCCCAGACUCCUACGGGAGGCAGCAGUGGGGAAUAUUGCACAAUGGGCGGAAGCCUGAUGCAGCAACGCCGCGUGCGGGAUGACGGCCUUCGGGUUGUAAACCGCUUUCGCCUGUGACGAAGCGUGAGUGACGGUAAUGGGUAAAGAAGCACCGGCUAACUACGUGCCAGCAGCCGCGGUGAUACGUAGGGUGCGAGCGUUGUCCGGAUUUAUUGGGCGUAAAGGGCUCGUAGGUGGUUGAUCGCGUCGGAAGUGUAAUCUUGGGGCUUAACCCUGAGCGUGCUUUCGAUACGGGUUGACUUGAGGAAGGUAGGGGAGAAUGGAAUUCCUGGUGGAGCGGUGGAAUGCGCAGAUAUCAGGAGGAACACCAGUGGCGAAGGCGGUUCUCUGGGCCUUUCCUGACGCUGAGGAGCGAAAGCGUGGGGAGCGAACAGGCUUAGAUACCCUGGUAGUCCACGCUGUAAACGGUGGGUACUAGGUGUGGGGUCCAUUCCACGGGUUCCGUGCCGUAGCUAACGCUUUAAGUACCCCGCCUGGGGAGUACGGCCGCAAGGCUAAAACUCAAAGGAAUUGACGGGGCCCCGCACAAGCGGCGGAGCAUGCGGAUUAAUUCGAUGCAACGCGUAGAACCUUACCUGGGUUUGACAUGGAUCGGGAGUGCUCAGAGAUGGGUGUGCCUCUUUUGGGGUCGGUUCACAGGUGGUGCAUGGCUGUCGUCAGCUCGUGUCGUGAGAUGUUGGGUUAAGUCCCGCAACGAGCGCAACCCUUGUUCACUGUUGCCAGCACGUUAUGGUGGGGACUCAGUGGAGACCGCCGGGGUCAACUCGGAGGAAGGUGGGGAUGACGUCAAGUCAUCAUGCCCCUUAUGUCCAGGGCUUCACGCAUGCUACAAUGGCUGGUACAGAGAGUGGCGAGCCUGUGAGGGUGAGCGAAUCUCGGAAAGCCGGUCUCAGUUCGGAUUGGGGUCUGCAACUCGACCUCAUGAAGUCGGAGUCGCUAGUAAUCGCAGAUCAGCAACGCUGCGGUGAAUACGUUCCCGGGGCU
rnacentral:rRNA from 1 species